rnacentral:rRNA from 1 species
AGCGAACGCUGGCGGCAGGCCUAACACAUGCAAGUCGAACGAACUCUUCGGAGUUAGUGGCGGACGGGUGAGUAACACGUGGGAACGUGCCUUUAGGUUCGGAAUAACUCAGGGAAACUUGUGCUAAUACCCGAAUGUGCCCUUCGGGGGAAAGAUUAUCGCCUUUAGAGCGGCCCGCGUCUGAUUAGCUAGUUGGUGAGGUAAAGGCUCACCAAGGCGACGAUCAGUAGCUGGUCUGAGAGGAUGAUCAGCCACAUUGGGACUGAGACACGGCCCAAACUCCUACGGGAGGCAGCAGUGGGGAAUCUUGCGCAAUGGGCGAAAGCCUGACGCAGCCAUGCCGCGUGAAUGAUGAAGGUCUUAGGAUUGUAAAAUUCUUUCACCGGGGACGAUAAUGACGGUACCCGGAGAAG